rnacentral:rRNA from 1 species
AGCAGCCGCGGUAAUUCCAGCUCCAAUAGCGUAUAUUAAAGUUGUUGCAGUUAAAAAGCUCGUAGUUGAAUUUCGAGACCGGUCUACUGGUCGUGCUUUUGUACGUACUGGUAUAAUCGGUUUCUCUCUUCUGACGAACUAUAAUGCCAUUAAUUUGGUGUUUUAGGGAAUCAGGACUGUUACUUUGAAAAAUUAGAGUGUUUAAAGCAGGCUCACGCUUGAAUACAUUAGCAUGGAAUAACGAAAUAGGACGUUUGAUUCUAUUUUGUUGGUUUCUAGGAUCGACGUAAUGAUUAAUAGGGAUAGUUGGGGGCAUUAGUAUUCAAUUGUCAGAGGUGAAAUUCUUGGAUUUAUUGAAGACUAACUACUGCGAAAGCAUUUGCCAAGGAUGUUUUCAUUAAUCAAGAACGAAAGUUAGGGGAUCGAAGACGAUCAGAUACCGUCGUAGUC